rnacentral:lncRNA from 1 species
UCCACAAGGCUUAGAUCAGUGGUUCCCAACUCCGGUCCUAGAGUACUCUCAACAGCACACAUUUUUGUUGUAGCCCUGGACAAGUACACCCAAUUCAACUCAAUGAAAGCAUGAUCAUUAUUUGACAAGUUGAAUCAGCUGUGCUUGGCUGGGGCUACAAUGAAAAUGUGUACUGUUGGGGGUACUUGAGGAACGUAGUUGGGAACCAUGUUUUAGAUCAAACGUGUUGCCUUAUUAGAGGGGGAAGGAUGUGAUCCAGGUCUGACAAUGCAUGUGGAGACCAGAAGUUUAGCUGGUGCCCACUAGGGGAAAAACUAAUCUGUCUUAGUGGUUAGGUUUAGGGUGAAACAUAUCUGGGUUUUGAUUAGAGUUGGGGUUAUUGUUAGGCUUCGGUAUUGGUUAAGUUUAGGCAUAAUAUUGAGGUUAUUGAGGUUUGGGUUAAGGAAAGGGUUAGGAAUUAGGGAUCCAGGGAAUUUUUGUUCCAAGAAGGAUAGAAAAAUGUGUGUCUCUGAGUGUCAGAAACGAAUGGGGCGGUAACAUGGACUAGUUACUGUGGUAUUGAAUCUAGAAGUUGAUGAAGGUGAUACUGUAUGUAUGGUCAUCCAACUGUUCUGAAUAGCCGUCAAAGGCAUAAUUGAUGGCGUACAAUAAACAGGGGCAUAAUUUGCUAAAUGGAAAGUGCUGUUAGAUUAUGGUUGAUGACUGCAGUACAGGAAAGAUAUAUGAAUUGGGUGCCGCAGUCCAUCAAAAUGCAUGCAGUGAAUGCAACAAACUGACUUACUGAACUGGACAACUUCACCAUUCUACAACAUUUUAAGUGAGACUUCACGGUCAAGACAUCCUGCUCUCGUUCCUCUCACAGACCAUUUAAUCUGGGGCACAAACAGGUAAGUGGGUUGCUUUCAAUGCUUUAGCU